rnacentral:rRNA from 1 species
GUAGGGAAUAUUGGGCAAUGGAGGCAACUCUGACCCAGCCAUGCCGCGUGCAGGAAGACGGUCCUCUGGAUUGUAAACUGCUUUUGAAUGGGAAGAACACUACCCUUGCGAGGGUAUUUGACGGUACUAUUAGAAUAAGCACCGGCUAACUCCGUGCCAGCAGCCGCGGUAAUACGGAGGGUGCAAGCGUUAUCCGGAUUUAUUGGGUUUAAAGGGUGCGUAGGCGGCUUGAUAAGUCUGGGGUUAAAGGCGGCAGCUUAACUGUACGCAUGCCCUAGAUACUGUUGAGCUUGAGUGACCUGGAGGUAGCUGGAAUUCCCUGUGUAGCGGUGAAAUGCAUAGAUACGGGGAGGAAUACCGAUUGCGAAGGCAUGUUACUACGGGUAAACUGACGCUGAUGCACGAAAGCGUGGGGAUCAAACAGGAUUAGAAACCCCGGUAGUCC